rnacentral:sRNA from 1 species
ACUGGGUGUGGUGGUGCACGCCUGUAAUCCCAGCAGCACGGGAGGCUGAGAUGGGAGAAUCUCAAGUCCACAGCAAGCCUCAGCCUGGGUGAGGCACUAAGCAACUCAGUGAGACCCUGUCUCUA